CCAUUACUCCAAGAAGAAUUUGGGCACAACUAAUUUUUUUAUUUCGUUAUGGAAACCGAAAUGAGAAUGUCUGCAUCUAAUUCAAGAAAAUGGGCAAGGCAAUGAGGACAUUGCACAAGAGAGUCCCUGAUAUCCCAGAGCUUACUGACUAAGAGAGGAUACAUCCUUCAAACUAAUAGUCUGCCAAUAGCAAGAUCCAAUAGCUUCAUGGAUAUUGAAAGAAACUGAGAAUCACAUUUGCAUACUUCUGAGUCACUUGGAAACAAAAAACAAGUACAGUCUUGGAUUCUGAGGGAACAAACAUUAAAAAUCACAUUAGGAAGAGAAUUCAUAAUGUAGGAACUCAUCCUGGAAUAUUCUUCAGCAAAAUACAGACAAUAAUAAUAAUACUCCAUGAAGCUACCGUGGAUAUUGAAUGAAUUAAUGAAUCUAAAAACCUCAAAACCCUGCCUGGCCCAGAGGCAGCCUGGAGAGCUGUGAGCAGUGCCAUAGGAGGAAAUGACUGGUGCACAGGUGGAUGACCUGGCAGGAGAUACCAUUUUGGCCAUGGAACAGUCAAGUUGUUAAGAGGACCAAGACGUCAAUGAACUAAAAGUUUCUGGGCCAGUUUAUUAGGCAAAAAUUAAAAAUAAAAAUAAUAUUUGAAAACCUAAAAUAAAUUUGAUUUCAACUUGCAUAAUCUCUCUAACUCACUGAGGUUCCAUGAAGACGGGCAGGUUUUUUUUGUUGUUGUUAUGUUCCAUGUUGUGGAGUUGUAGGUGAGGGCAAACACCCUUCAUAUGUGAUGCAAGCACAAAGCAAGCUUUAUCUAGAAAACUUAAAGGCAGAUGAUUGGCUGAAUGAUAUGUGAAAACCUCAUGCUCUCAGCCUUUUACCAAGAGGGAUGCAGGAACUAGAUCACAGCUGGAUGUACCAUGGAAUAGGUUCUAGAGAGAUCCCCAAACUUUGC